UCUAACUUGGAUGGGAUUGAUUGAUGUGAUUCUUGAUGGAUUUUGUAAGAAACACGUUGUGGAAUUAUUUCCAAGAACGUCUAAUGUCAAAUUCAUGAAGAAAGACCUCGACCCAACACUUUACUAGAAGUGUGAACCUUGGUAUAGAAGGGUUUUGGAUGUCAUACUCAAGAUCAAAAAGAAGGUGAGUAAUGAGUCUCAAAGAAUGCCAC
rnacentral:lncRNA from 1 species